AGAGUUUGAUCAUGGCUCAAAACGAACGCUGGCGGCGUGCUUAACACAUGCAAGUCGAGCGCGAAAGGGAGGGGCAACCCUCCCGAGUAGAGCGGCGCACGGGUGAGUAACGCGUGGGUAACCUGCCCCCGGGCGGGGGAUAACUACUCGAAAGGGUGGCUAAUACCGCAUGAGACCACGGGGUCUUCGGAUCCUGAGGCCAAAGGCGGCGCCGGCUUGCCGGCGCUGUCACCUGGGGAUGGGCCCGCGUACGAUUAGCUUGUUGGCAGGGUAACGGCCUACCAAGGCUACGAUCGUUAGCUGGUCUGAGAGGAUGGCCAGCCACACUGGAACUGAAACACGGUCCAGACUCCUACGGGAGGCAGCAGUGAGGAAUAUUGCGCAAUGGGGGAAACCCUGACGCAGCAACGCCGCGUGGGUGAAGAAGGCCUUCGGGUCGUAAAGCCCUUUCGGACGGGACGAACGCUUCGCGGGGAUAAUCCGCGAAGCCUGACGGUACCGUAAGAAGAAGCACCGGCUAACUCCGUGCCAGCAGCCGCGGUAAUACGGAGGGUGCAAGCGUUGUUCGGAAUUACUGGGCGUAAAGCGCGUGUAGGCGGCCCUGUAAGUCAGAUGUGAAAGCCCUCGGCUUAACCGGGGAAGUGCAUCUGAAACUGCUUGGCUUGAGUACGGGAGAGGGAGGCGGAAUUCCCAGUGUAGAGGUGAAAUUCGUAGAUAUUGGGAGGAACACCGGUGGCGAAAGCGGCCUCCUGGACCGAUACUGACGCUGAGACGCGAAAGCGUGGGGAGCAAACAGGAUUAGAUACCCUGGUAGUCCACGCGGUAAACGAUGGGCACUAGGUGUGGGGGGUAUCCACUCCUCCUGUGCCGAAGCUAACGCAUUUAAGUGCCCCGCCUGGGGAGUACGGCCGCAAGGUUAAAACCUCAAAUGAAUUGACGG
rnacentral:rRNA from 1 species